rnacentral:rRNA from 1 species
UACGUAGGGUGCAAGCGUUUGUCCGGAAUUAUUGGGCGUAAAGAGCUCGUAGGCGGUCUGUUGCGUCGGCUGUGAAAACCCGAGGCUCAACCUCGGGCCUGCAGCCGAUACGGGCAGACUAGAGUUCGGCAGGGGAGACUGGAAUUCCUGGUGUAGCGGUGAAAUGCGCAGAUAUCAGGAGGAACACCGGGUGGCGAAGGC